UACGUAGGCAGCAAGCGUUUGUUCGGAGUUACUGGGCGUAAAGGGUGUGUAGGCGGUUGCUUAAGUUUGGUGUGAAAUCUCCCGGCUCAACUGGGAGGGUGCGCCGAAUACUGAGUGACUCGAGUGCGGGAGAGGAAAGUGGAAUUCCUGGUGUAGCGGUGAAAUGCGUAGAUAUCAGGAGGAACACCGGUGGUGUAGACGGCUUUCUGGACCGUAACUGACGCUGAAACACGAAAGCGUGGGUAGCAAACAGG
rnacentral:rRNA from 1 species